UACGUAGGGACCGAGCGUUGUCCGGAAUCAUUGGGCGUAAAGAGCGUGUAGGCGGCUUGCUAAGUCUUGCGUGAAAGCUCUCGGCUAAACCGGGAGAGGUCGUUGGAUACUGGCAGACUAGAGGACGGUAGAGGCGUGUGGAAUUCCGGGUGUAGUGGUGAAAUGCGUAGAGAUCCGGAGGAACACCAGUGGCGAAGGCGACACGCUGGGCCGUACCUGACGCUAAAGCGCGACAGCAUGGGGGAGCAAACGGG
rnacentral:rRNA from 1 species